rnacentral:lncRNA from 1 species
AACAAAGAUGAAUUCAUCAUAACACUUUUUGGACGUGAUUGUCCAUUCCCUCCUUCCCAAGUUUCCUUGUAGUAUAGUUGAACCCUUUUGUCCUUGGGGCCAGCCCCUAAUUAAUGCAGCUUUUCCACUUCUUUUUUCGUUGUCCUCUUGCAGAAUGACUCUCAAACUGGGUAGGAAUCAAUUUGUCUGUUAUAUAAAAUAAAAUAAAACAAGUUAUGUACAAAUUAAGCACAAACAAAUCAUGCAUUGAUCCUUAUCAUAAUGUCAUAAUUUUGCUGUGAAAAACUAAGCCAAACAUUGAUCCAUGACAAAGAUGGAAUUGGACUGACCAUUGGUCAAAUUGAUGUCAGUUAUGCCAGUGAGAUCUUGCUUCUUUAACAACCCUGACAAAUAUUCCU